CCAUCUACCGAACAGCAGCGAGCAAUUGACAGCAAGAAUCACAUACGAUUAUUUCUAAACCCAGUAAAGCUUGAGUGUGAAGAAUCCUGUACCGUGUUUUUACUGACACGCUGAGGCGAGUACAAUCUUCUGAUCAGCGCACACUAUCUGAGAUGAGGCGGGUAGACGAUGAAAUAAUGCAGGAAGUCACAG